rnacentral:lncRNA from 1 species
CUAUGGAUCGGUGUCUCUCUCAUUGCUCCUCUGUCUCCCUUCCUUCGUUCAAACCAAUAUACAUCUAAUUGGGAACCGCAACAUCGAAUCCUUCGACACUUCCUUUGCCGUAGUUUUUAGCGCUUAACGAACACCAUGAGGCCAACACGAUAGCAGAUUGGGUAGUCUUUUAUGUGGCUAAGCAUUUUGAAAAAACUUUUUAGCUGGGGAAGAAGGACUUAUUCGGAGCACUACGAAAACUAUUAUCUUUUGAUUUUAUUGGAUGUAACCGUAUCCAUCAUGUAUGAUGCAUCCAUUCUAAUAUAUAA